CCGGAUGUCUCUGGAGGGGAACAGACCCUUCCUGACCCUCACGGCAGCUCCCCGAGAUUCAGAGGGUCGAUGUCGGUUUUGACGGGGAGGGAAGGAAGAGACUGGGAAAAGGUCCAGGGCGGGAGUGAGGGAG